rnacentral:rRNA from 1 species
GCUUACGGCCAUACCACCCUGAACACGCCCAAUCUCGUCCGAUCUCGGAAGCUAAGCAGGGUCAGGCCUGGUUAGUACUUGGAUCGGAGACCGCCUGGGAAUACCAGGUGCUGCAAGCU